CGUAACAAGGUCUCCGUUGGUGAACCAGCGGAGGGAUCAUUACCGAGUUUACAACUCCCAAACCCCUGUGAACAUACCAAUUGUUGCCUCGGCGGAUCAGCCCGCUCCCGGUAAAACGGGACGGCCCGCCAGAGGACCCCUAAACUCUGUUUCUAUAUGUAACUUCUGAGUAAAACCAUAAAUAAAUCAAAACUUUCAACAACGGAUCUCUUGGUUCUGGCAUCGAUGAAGAACGCAGCAAAAUGCGAUAAGUAAUGUGAAUUGCAGAAUUCAGUGAAUCAUCGAAUCUUUGAACGCACAUUGCGCCCGCCAGUAUUCUGGCGGGCAUGCCUGUUCGAGCGUCAUUUCAACCCUCAAGCCCAGCUUGGUGUUGGGACUCGCGAGUCAAAUCGCGUUCCCCAAAUUGAUUGGCGGUCACGUCGAGCUUCCAUAGCGUAGUAGUAAAACCCUCGUUACUGGUAAUCGUCGCGGCCACGCCGUUAAACCCCAACUUCUGAAUGUUGACCUCGGAUCAGGUAGGAAUACCCGCUGAACCUAAGCAUAUCA
rnacentral:misc_RNA from 1 species